GGCAGGGUCCGAGGAGGAGGGAGUUAGCGGAGGGAGUGCUGGUGGGGUGGUGGUCAUGAAAAUCAGACGUUCCCAAGCGACACACCCGGACCAGACCGUAGAGAAGAUGCUGGACUUGGUGCGUGGGAAUCAUCAGCGACCCCGGCUAGGGCAGCUUCGGGCAGCGUAGGGAGGAAGCCAGAUUGCAACGGAUUAAGGAGUGAGGGGGUGGCGAGAUUUGCUGUCCUGAUUCAGCCGCCGCGGCGGCAGCCCGGGCUGGCUCUCCUCCCACAGGUGCGGGCUCCACAUGCGACGGGAACACGUGUGCCCACUCGUGCCACAGGCAUGCAGAUGUUUCACCAUUGAAUGAUUUCAUACGACUAUCUGGAUUUCUGGCUUCUCUUGAAAACUGAACAUCUGGUUUCACCUUCCCUCCUGGCUGGGAUUGUGGCUGCCAUCCCAUUUUAGAUGGGUCACCCUUUCUCCGGUUUUCAACAUUCCCCAUCACUGCGUAUAGCUGUACUGUUCAAUAAGGUCAUGGGUGAAAUUGAAAUUCCAGACCGCCCUUCUUCGUGGCAAACCUUUAGAAAUUAGAUUGUACUAGGUCAGUGCUUCUGAAACCUGAAUGUGAACCCCUGGGUGAGAUUAUGAUUCAGUUGGUCUAAGGUGGGACCCACAAAUCUGCAUUUUGACACGUGCCAAGAAGAGGCCAGUGCUGCUAGUCCGGGACCAUACUCUGAAAGGUAGGCAUUAGCCAGCCAGCUUCGUAAA